UACUGCGUUUUUUAGAACCAUGUGUGCGAACAAUAAUGUAGUAUCGAUACGAACACCGUUACCACUACAUACUAUUAAUACUAUACUGGAGGCUAUAUCCCUUUUGAUCCUUAUCGACAACAGCCUAACAUCAUGGUUGGACUCUUGCAGGAGCAAUUGCGAAGAGGACAAAAUUCGCAUAAUCCAUGCGCGCAAAAAUACCCGUGCGAACAAGAAUAUAGAUGAAACAGAAAAAA